rnacentral:rRNA from 1 species
UGGGGAAUUUUGGACAAUGGGGGAAACCCUGAUCCAGCCAUCCCGCGUGUGCGAUGAAGGCCUUCGGGUUGUAAAGCACUUUUGGCAGGAAAGAAACGUCGCGGGUUAAUACCCCGCGAAACUGACGGUACCUGCAGAAUAAGCACCGGCUAACUACGUGCCAGCAGCCGCGGUAAUACGUAGGGUGCAAGCGUUAAUCGGAAUUACUGGGCGUAAAGCGUGCGCAGGCGGUUCGGAAAGAAAGAUGUGAAAUCCCCAGAGCUUAACUUUGGAACUGCAUUUUUAACUACCGGGCUAGAGUGUGUCAGAGGGAGGUGGAAUUCCGCGUGUAGCAGUGAAAUGCGUAGAUAUGCGGAGGAACACCGAUGGCGAAGGCAGCCUCCUGGGAUAACACUGACGCUCAUGCACGAAAGCGUGGGGAGCAAACAGGAUUAGAUACCCUGGUAGUCCACGCCCUAAACGAUGUCAACUAGCUGUUGGGGCCUUUCGGGCCUUGGUAGCGCAGCUAACGCGUGAAGUUGACCGCCUGGGGAGUACGGUCGCAAGAUU